rnacentral:tRNA from 1 species
UGGGGUGGAGCUCAGCGGUAUAGUGCUUGCCUAGCAUGUGCAAGAUCUGAGUUUGAGUCUCAGCACUGCAA